CAGCAGCCGCGGGAAAACGAAGGGGGCUAGCGUUGUUCGGAUUUACUGGGCGUAAAGGGCGCGUAGGCGGACUGAUAAGUCAGGGGUGAAAUCCCAAGGCUCAACCUUGGAACUGCCUUUGAUACUGUUUGUCUUGAGUUCGAGAGAGGUAAGUAGAACUGCGAGUGUAGAGGUGAAAUUCGUAGAUAUUCGCAAGAACACCAGUGGCGAAGGCGGCUUACUGGCUCGAAACUGACGCUGAGGCGCGAAAGCGUGGGGAGCAAACAGGAUUAGAGACCCCCGUAGUCCCUGUCUCUUAUAC
rnacentral:rRNA from 1 species